CAAAAUUUGCUUUUCUCUACAUUUAUAGUGAGAUUGGCAGAAGUAAGUUUAGAGGCCACAAUGGACAACACUUCUAGAUGGCGUUCAAAUAUGGGCUGGAAUAAGUUUAUCCAUGAGUCGCGACAUGGUACAGGGAGCGUUGGUGAGGCCGAAUGGCAUAACUACAAAUUCAUAUAAAGGACGGCCAGGCACAGUGAACGCGGUCUUGUCACGGCAACUUGGAUCGAGAGGAAUUUGCCAAAACGCAUCCUUUAGGUCAAUGCUUGUGACGAACUCAGCUUUCGGUAGUCUACUCAGAAUUCCGUCUAUAAGCGGCAUUGGAUAAGCAUCCUUUACGUGGCAGGUGACACUGCAUAGUGGCGUUGCUUAAUAGGUUUGGCAUCGGCCACCUCUAUCUUAUGAGUGAUAAUAGAGGUCUUUCCUAAACCUUCCUUGGAGUAUGAUGGAAACAAAUUAACUACCUCCUGUAGUAAAAGUUGCUGAGAAGGGAGAAGAGUCAUCAUUGUGGGAUCUUCCAAAGUUUCAAUAAUUAAAUUCUUUGUCAUAAGAUGCAAAGGUAGAAGAUUAAAAGUUGUCCAAAAAUCAAUCCCUAGAUAGAGAUCACCCGUCAAAGAAGGUACAAUAUAAAAGCAAAGUUCCUUGGCUUCCCCUCUGUAUGUGA